rnacentral:antisense_RNA from 1 species
GGAAUAUGGAGACCAGUGCAGCGGAGCCCACCACUCUGAUUAGGUCGGGGGAACCUUGGCUUUCAGACCCAGACAGCCGAGAGAGGGAAAAGCCGUGGAAACACACCCGGAUUGAAAUGCCCCUGGCCCGCCUGACCCGACCCUAGGAGAAGCAGCCGAGUUACCCGACAUCGUGGUCAGCAGGAGCUGGGUCGGUGGCUGGAUGCUGCAGCUGCAGGGACUCAGCGCCUGGGAGGGCUCCUGGGGCAGGGAGAGAAGCAGAGAUGCAACAUUUUUAAAGUUUCACAAAGCAUCCGGCUGCACCCAGGUCCCUGGAACAGGAGACAAACAGAAUUAAUGUUUUAUACCUUCGGGUAUAGGUUUGAGUUUUUUCCCCCUCAUGCCAAGUAUUUAAAACCUCUAGAAACCCAUGAUUUGACAAUCAAUGAUUGCGCGAUACUUUCAAUUUGAAUAUUCAAAGGCUUAACAAAAUGGACUAUCUUCUGCAGAAAUCCUGCACACAGGCACCCCACAGAGAGUCCAGAGAAACAGGGAGUGAGACCCCUUUGGGUCCUGGCCCUUGCUUUUAUUAUAUUUUGAGCAUUUUGUCCUCCUUCCCACAGAUAGAGCAGAUGUCCUCAAAGAUGCUCUGUAUUUCAGCCUUCAGGGCAGCUAAGAAGCCAUGAGUGACUUAGGCUGCCCUGGCCAUGAACACCGGAGCCAGACUGGCUGGCCAGACUGAUUCCCGCAUCCCCCAUCUGUGUUUUGAGGGGAAAUCUUAGGUUUUGAGGAAUGAACAUGGCAGCUAGUGGGUGUGGCACAGCAAGAAGUCGCUCUGGGCCCAGGUGGCAGGCCAGCGGCCUAGCAGAGGCCUUCGCUCUGCACCUCCUAUUUUUCUGGUUCCGCCUGGCUACCAGCGGGCUUUCCUCCCCCUUUCAUCCCGCUCUUCCUGGGCCCGACACUGGGGUUUCUGCUCAGAAUGACUGCCCAUUAAGACCCUUUGCUCCUCCCCACAGAGCUGGGGAUGCCAGGAGCCUCAUCCUCUGGAGACUUUCUGACUCUGGGUUUCACCACCGCACUGCGAAGUGCCCUCUUUGCUUUUUCGCCCGCUAGAGCCACCCCUGCCUUUUUGCUGUAGGAGCACAUGUUAGGAAACAAUGACAAGUUUGGCUCCUGCUCAUUUUAACUGAAAGGAUGUGGACUUAGGUUCAAGCCUUCUCCCAUUGGGGUGAGAAGGGGGAGGGACUUGGGAUCAGGCUUCCCCCUUGGUCCAGGCCCAAGCCCCUCACUAAUGACUUGGGAUUCUACUGGGUCAUCUUCUGUGAGUACUUACUGUGCCUCUUCCACGUGAUUUGGAAGGUGAGGAGACAGGAAUGGUCCACAGAGGGAGAGAGUGCCAGGCCAAGUCCUCUCAUAGCCACCCACCCCCUCCACAGAAGGGGACAGCAAGAGAAGAGAGAGGCAUGGUGAGGUUCCUUUUGCAAAUAACCAAGAUAUUUCCAGGAUUCAAGACCAGGCCAUAGUUUUAGGCCUCUGCUCUUUAUUCUCUGAGAUCUCAGAAAUGCAAAAAGUGUAGUUUAGCCCCAGAGGCCUCAAGAAAAAGAUUGGGGUGCCCCCAAAUGUGUCAAAUACAGAGGGAAACACACAGAGCUUAGGGAAAGGGCAACUGAGAAUGACAAGACUGAUAGGAAUUGCUUGGCAGCUGAAGCCACAUCUCUGGGGGAGAGGAGCAGGCCUGGGAACACCUGAGGUGGCACCUGGCAGUGGAGGGCAGGAUGGAUGUAUUGAAAUCUGACAGCUUCUGGAGCUUCUUUCUACAAAUGCCCCUGAGCCUGUGUCCUAGGUUUCCCUGAUGGACCAGACCUGAGGAGGGGAAGGACAAUGGGAGUGGAGAUAGCACCUCCCCUCCCUGAAUACCUUCUUCCCCGCUGUGCCUAGGCCUUGCCCCCUCUGAAGGAACAGUGAACCAAGCAGCUUGGAAUCUAGGGAUGGUCUCUUGUCCUCAUAGCGUCUUCCAUUACUUCUUUUCUUCGCUGCUCUCCUCCUUUUUGUUAUACUCUUAUUUUUUGAUUUGCUUUUAAAAAGCUUCUUCUUUGUUGCAUUUUUGUUUAUUUCUUUCUGUGUUUCUUUGUCUCUCUUCCUGUCACUGCUUUCUUCCAUUUCUUAUCUGCACUACUGGUUUUCUCCCUGGCUUCACGUGUCUCUGUGUUCCCCUGUGCUGGGGUGUCCUCCCAAUGCUUUCAGGCUUCAUCUCCUUCCUAACCUCUCCUUUCAUGUGGAGAUGGACAGGGAUGGCAGGAGCAUUGAGUGCUCUUGGCAACACCAUUGAAGAUGAUGCUGACGAUCAGCUACCCUGUGAAGAAGGCAGGCCAGGCUGGGUGAGAGGGGAGCUCCUUGGAAGUCAGGGGGUCUGUAAGGACAGCAAGGAUCUUUUUGUCCCAACCUCCAGCAGCCUUUAUGGGUGCUUCUGUGUUGGCCUUGUUUCUGGGAUGGCCAUCUCAGUGCUGUUGCUGGCUAGCGAUUUCAGAAAACUAGAUUUGUCUAGGCCUGAGCCCUGUUUUGAGAAAGAAGCUUCCCUCUGGUUUGUAGCCCAACGUUAAUGAGUUUUGGUUCCUGUUGUUUCUAUAAUUACAAAACCCCAGCACAGGUAUUUAAGAGCCAAAGGCCAUGCUUGUGGAAGUAAGGGAGAAUCUUUCUAAAUGGAUCCUGCAAAUCCUCCUUACAGAUCUGAGUGGAUGAUCAGGCCCAGAGCAACCCUGAGACCCCAGGUACCCACAGCAUUGGCUGUUCUUCAUAGGAGACUCAGAGAAGACUUCAUAGGAGACUCAUUAUUGUUUACUGGACAUCAGGUGCUAUAUUGUAUAGCAUUCACAUUCCACAGGUGAGGAAACAGGCUCAGAGGAAUAAGUGGCAUGCCAAGAUCAUUGAGUGUAUCAGUAGCAGAAUUAGGAUUCAGACUUUGAUAGGCCUAACUCCAAAGCCCUGGCUUUUUUUUUUUUUUUUUGAGAUGGAAUCUUACUCUGUCACCAGGCUGGAGUGCAGUGGCAUGAUCUCAGCUCACUGCAACCUCUGCCUCCUGGGUUCAAGUGAUUCCCCUGCCUUAGCCUCCUGAGUAGCUGGGACUACAGGCAUGCACCACCACGCCCAGCUAAUUUUUGUAUUUUUAGUAGAGAGGAGGUUUCACCGUGUUGGCCAGGAUGGUCUCAAUCUCUUGACCUUGUGAUCUGCCUGCCUCGGCCUCCCAAAGUACUGGGAUUAUAGGCAUGAGCCACCAUGCCUGGCCUUUGCUCUUAACUACUGAUGUUGUCUUCCUGAUCUUUUCUACAAGAAGCUUUUAAACUUUUUGGACUUUAACCUACAAUAAGAAAUCCGUUUUACAUGUUCAGAUUUAUCUAUAACAACAUUUAUAUUUCUAAAACAAACUUUUCAUGAAACAACAUAUACCUACAUAUGUCAGGCACUCUGAUAUUUUCUAUUCUAGUCCACCUUUUCCAUUUCAUUCUAUUUAUGGGAAAUAUAUGUUGGUUGGGAGUCACUGAGUUAAUUUAAUGACCCACUAAUAGGCUGUGAGUGGCAUUGGAAAAAUACCUGCUUGUAAGAUAUGCGAACACACGUUUCAAGGUUGUUUGUGCAUGUGGAAAUAUUUUGGGGUGCUAUCUGUUUUACCAUCAGUUUGUACAAGGACACUAAGACAGUGUAGCCUGCUGACUUGAGAAUGUUCUGUAAGGACUGGAAACACUAGAAUCUUGAAGAAACGCCUGGCUAGAGGUGAAAGUAAGCUGUUAAUUACACUGAUUACAGUUUGUGCCUCUCAGACUGAGAACUCUUUUCUUCUUGCUGCGGGCAUUGCUACCUCUAGGAUGUUUGCCCUGAAGUCCUGAUAGUCUCUUUGGGGUUUUAAUAAAUGGCUGAAAAAAUCGUUGUGGGGUUUCAACAGGCGUUCAUAGGCACCCUUGCUUGGCAAUAUAACAUGACUUUUGAUGUUUGGGUGUUGGAAGGGAUCUUUGAAGUGCUGAGAGGGACUCAGUCUUUUUCCAAAAUCUCUGCUUGUGUCUGUCCAGCCUCUGGCUCCACUGCUUGGCUGAGAUCCUGGCCCAUAGUAGAAUAUGUGUAGAGGAAACGAGAGCUCACUAUUUGUGAGGCAGCCUGUUCCACUAUUGGACUGCUUUAAAUGUAGUGAUCAGUGAUUAUGCUAUAAUCCAAUCAUGUAUUAAUUGGGCACCAACUAUGCACUAGGCAUGGUAUCAAGUACCAGGAGUACAAAAAUAAGUAAACCUUGAUUUCUGCUAUCAAUUACUCUCUUCUCCUACUUCUGUACUACUGCUUUUCUAUUGUGAGUUUGUUUAGUUCAUUAAUUGGUUUAUUCAUUCAUUCAACAAUCAUAUACUGAUUAGCUACUCUGACCAGGUCCAGUACUAACUCUAAAGAAGUUAUGCCCAUCCCAUCUUCACCCCAAGCCUUCUCCUUUUGAGACUCCUCAUCCAGUUUCUUUAGUUCUUCAUAUAUCACUGUUUUUCAGAUCUCUGGCUAUCCUUGCCAUUGACCUCAGAAAUCCUGUAUUUGACCUUAACCUUCUUAUACCCAGUCCAUACCCAAAGUGAUGGAAAUGGAAUAGAUUUCUUUUUAAAGUUUUAAACGAAUAUUUUGACUGAAAAAUUUUGGCAGUCUUGUAUGCAAAUGACACUGCAGAGCAUUGUUUUCUCCCCCCCACAUAGGAGAUUUUAUUCAACUUAGGCACAGGCAUAUUAAAAGACUUUCAGUAUAAGGAAAAGGGGUAGUUUAUUCCCUCCAAAUUUGACUACAGCUCGAAAUUGUCUUUAUUAAUGCAAAGUUCUUUUGUCACCUUGACUUUGGGACACUGUUACCAAACCUUGUGGGAAAUAUCAAGUUCCAGAAGAUUGAAUACAUGCAGGAAACAAAUGUUUUUUGGGCCCUAGAGUGAACAUUUGGUCCAUAUGAAAAUGACCAGGAAGACAAUUAGGUGAAGGUUUUUUAAUGAUUUGUGCUACGUCAGUCUCUUCCCAUAAGACAUAUUCAAAGUUUUAACUUUUCCUUAAGAGGCUUCCAUGGGGAGCAAGCAUUUGAUAAUUCAUCCUUUAACUAAGAAAAACACCACCGUACACUGCUUGAAGAGUUCCUCUUCUAUUACUUAAAACGUUUUUAUUGUGCAACAUUUAAGGCAUACAAAAACAUAUAAAGAAUACCAUGAUGAAAAUCUAUGACUGUAUUACCAAGCUUAAGAAAUAAAACAAUUGAGUGAUCUCUCAUUUAUGACUAAAUUAACUUAUUAAAACCAUUAAAACUUUUGGAUUAUUCCUGUUAA